rnacentral:rRNA from 1 species
AGUGAACGCUGGCGGUAGGCCUAACACAUGCAGGUCGAACGGCAGCACAGUAAGAGCUUGCUCUUACGGGUGGCGAGUGGCGGACGGGUGAGGAAUACAUCGGAAUCUACUUUUUCGUGGGGGAUAACGUAGGGAAACUUACGCUAAUACCGCAUACGACCUACGGGUGAAAGCAGGGGAUCUUCGGACCUUGCGCGAUUGAAUGAGCCGAUGUCGGAUUAGCUAGUUGGCGGGGUAAAGGCCCACCAAGGCGACGAUCCGUAGCUGGUCUGAGAGGAUGAUCAGCCACACUGGAACUGAGACACGGUCCAGACUCCUACGGGAGGCAGCAGUGGGAAUACUGGACAAUGGGCGCAAGCCUGAUCCAGCCAUACCGCGUGGGUGAAGAAGGCCUUCGGGUUGUAAAGCCCUUUUGUUGGGAAAGAAAAGCAGCAGGUUAAUACCCCGCUGUUCUGACGGUACCCAAAGAAUAAGCACCGGCUAACUUCGUG